GACGAACGCUGGCGGCGUGCUUAACACAUGCAAGUCGAACGGAAAGGCCUGCUUUCCCUUGUGGAUUGCGGGUACUCGAGUGGCGAACGGGUGAGUAACACGUGAGUGAUCUGCCCCCAACUUGGGUAUAAGCCUGGGAAACUGGGUCUAAUUCCCGAUAGGACUGCAGGGCGGGGCCUGUGGUGGAAAACGAUUUUCUAGUGGUUGGGGAUGAGCUCGCGGCCUAUCAGCUUGUUGGUGGGGUAAUGGCCUACCAAGGCGGCGACGGGUAGCCGGCCUGGGAGGGUGGACGGCCACAUUGGGACUGAGAUACGGCCCAGACUCCUACGGGAGGCAGCAGUGGGGAAUAUUGCACCAUGGGCGGAAGCCUGAUGCAGCGACGCCGCGUGGGGGAUGCCGGCCUUCGGGUUGUAAACUCCUUUCGACCGCGAGGAAGCCACCUGGUUGGAAGGGUGGUGACGGUAGUGGUAGAAGAAGCACCGGCUAACUACGUG
rnacentral:rRNA from 1 species